UACGUAGGGGGCAAGCGUUGUCCGGAAUCAUUGGGCGUAAAGCGCGUGUAGGCGGCCCGGUAAGUCCGCUGUGAAAGUCCAGGGCUCAACCCUGGGAUGCCGGUGGAUACUGUCGGGCUGGAGGCUGGGAGAGGGCAGCGGAAUUCCCGGUGUAGCGGUGAAAUGCGUAGAGAUCGGGAGGAACACCGGCGGCGAAGGCGGCUGCCUGGACCAGUCCUGACGCUGAGGCGCGAAAGCUAGGGGAGCAAACAGG
rnacentral:rRNA from 1 species